GACGAACGCUGGCGGCGUGCUUAACACAUGCAAGUCGAGCGGUAAGGCCCUUCGGGGUACACGAGCGGCGAACGGGUGAGUAACACGUGGGUGACCUGCCCUCAGCUCUGGGAUAAGCCUGGGAAACCGGGUCUAAUACCGGAUAGGACCACUGGAUGCAUGUCGGGUGGUGGAAAGUUUUUUCGGCUGGGGAUGGGCCAGCGGCCUAUCAGCUUGUUGGUGGGGUGAUGGCCUACCAAGGCGGUGAGGGGUAGCCGGCCUGAGAGGGCGAUCGGCCACACUGGGACGGAGAGACGGCCCGUACUCCUACGGGAGGCAGCAGUGGGGAGUAUUGCGCAAUGGGCGGAAGCCUUACGCAGCGACGCCGCGUGGGGGAUGACGGCCUUCGGGUUGUAAACCUCUUUCGCCGGGGACGAAGCUUUUGUGACGGUACCUGGAGAAGAAGCACCGGCCAACUACGUGCCAGCAGCCGCCGCAGUAA
rnacentral:rRNA from 1 species